rnacentral:rRNA from 1 species
UACGGAGGGAGCUAGCGUUGUUCGGAAUUACUGGGCGUAAAGCGCACGUAGGCGGCUUUGUAAGUUAGAGGUGAAAGCCUGGGGCUCAACUCCAGAAUUGCCUUUAAGACUGCAUCGCUUGAAUCCAGGAGAGGUGAGUGGAAUUCCGAGUGUAGAGGUGAAAUUCGUAGAUAUUCGGAAGAACACCAGUGGCGAAGGCGGCUCACUGGCUCGUAACUGACGCUCAGGCGCGACAGCGUGGGGGAGCAAACAGG